rnacentral:lncRNA from 1 species
AGUACCAGAACUCCAAAAUAGUUAGUUCAACUUCGAGUACAUAUUUUAUUGUAUAGAUUAGAAAACGUUAUCUUGAUGAUUUGUAAUCAUCGAAACUGUUUUUAUCAAAAUUUGCGGGGUUAAAAGCCAAACCUAUUUAAUUUCUAUAACAAUGGAGUAAGUGUUUAAUGUAUGAAUAUUUAAUAGAUCGAAUAGAUGAAUAUCGAGAAGAAAGCAAAAGACAAGAACACAAGCAAUUUUGGUGACGCGGAAAACCCCUUGUAAAAGGUUAAAAACCGCGGGUGGGAUUGACCCAGCCAAAUAUCCACUAUAAUGAUGUAACAUCAGCUUACAAGUAUAAGAAAUACAUGAUACAAGUACAAAAAGAUGUUAUCGUCGGCUUCAAAGCAGUUCACGUCCGUCAGCAAUGUGCACCCGUCGACAAAAUGAUUUUGGGGAGAUGAAGAUGUAGAGCUCCAUUGAUAGAAGACGAAGUAGCUAUGGUGCGUGCAUUGUAGUUGUAUGAUAUGUAGGAGGUAAGUGUAGUGUAGCUUUGUAUAUUUUGGGCCUUGGCUUUGGGUUUAUACCUAAGAAAAGUGAAGUCGUGGAGUUAUAAAGGUGUGUAGAGUACAUGUAUAUCUUGAUAAGUAUGCAG